GGGGGGGGGGGGAAGAGGGGAGGGGAAAAGUGUCUAGUAAUGGGGCUUAAAAUUGUAACCUGUCUUCUACAGGUGUUUCUGCUUAAACCCAUCGGUAAACUGAAACUAUUGGUAGUUACAAGGAGUAGGGCAAAAUGAACCCUAUGUAAACACCCAGAAAUACGCAAGUAAAUGGAGAUCUUUGCAUUCUUGAACACCUGCAAGCAGCAAAAACAUCUAUGAAAGGACUCGAGUGUGAGCACACAGCUCUUAGCGUUGGAACUUUUUCCAAUGCAGUCUGGCUUUCUGAAGGGGUAGAAGUUGCAAGUAUUGUUGUUAGUAGUAAUUGCAUGGUAGACUGUUCAGCUGGAAAUCUUUUUGCCCUGAGCUUCUAA
rnacentral:lncRNA from 1 species